GUAAAAUGUGGCAAAAUUCUCUUAACAAAUGUCUCACUUACCAACAGAAAUUUUAGCCUUAAUUGUGGUCAUAAGGUGAAAAGUUACCUGUAUAUAGUAGAAAGAAUGACAGCAUAUCUUAGCCCCUUUGAAAAAGAAAUAAAAAGACCCUCCCUCUCUUUAAGGCUUCUGAACACAGCUCCUUCUUAGACAUUCUCAACAGAGGGCAGGACUGUCUGUAUUUUUCAUGUCAAACCACACAAGCUUAUAUCCUUAGCUCUCUAGAGGUUGGGAGUAGUCUGAUCUGCCCAUUCAAGAUCCAGUAGUAGAACAACAGACAUCUAUUCUGAAUUGGUGUAUUAUUAUGAUCUGAGUUUGAGGAUGGGUUUGUUCAAACUGAAUCCAAUCUUGCUCUUUUGGCUCUGUAGUAUGGCAUUUGAUUUAAACACUUGAAAGAUUUAUUUAAGCUUUGUUGCCAUAGUGCAUGAUUUGCAGCAUAGUAAAUAGAAGAAUGAUUAGGAAGCAAAAAGUGAGUGAAUACAAAGCACGACAUAUUUGUACCACCAGUUCUGCACUAUGCAAGAGGAAUCUAUCUUGAGUUACCAAAUUCAUUUUGGAAUGAGCCUCAUCUGGAUCGAAGAAUUAUGUUGUUUUUCAUAAGCAGUUUAAAGGAAGAUUUGUGGUAAUUUAUAAUGCAAUUUGUUUAUUUUUAUAUAGCCCUUUGGCCAUAAAGGAACCAAUGUAUAAUUACUUAAAACGUAGUUGCCUUUGCAGCAUUUUAAAAAGUAAAUUCUGAAAUCCAGGUGUAUCCUUUUUUCUGUCUAAAAGCAAAGAAGAACAAGAAGACGCUUCAUAAUAAGGAUCCCAGGUGGAGUAAGUGGCAGGUGAUAUGUAAAAUGAUCAGUUACCUUGAUGUUUCCCAAUACAGAUUUUCCCCUGCAGGUCUGUAGAAAAGGAAGUAGAAGAAGAUAAGCAUCAGAUCUCCACCGCAAAAAACAACUUCCCGACCUUGCUAUGGAGCUUUUCGAGAAGGACACAGGUCUAUCAAAUUUAUAGUUCUGUUGUAAAGUAAUAUAUUCACUUCUGGAUGACUUUGCAAGCAAAAAUAAUGUCUGUCAUUCCAUAUUUUUAUUUUAAAGGGAAGAAUGAAUAAAGAUACCCAAGGACAUUCCACCUUUUGACUCAUCUUUAUAUUUGAAAUUAUAUCUAAAACAGCAAUAGGAAAUGGAAUGGAAUACUUUAUUUGGCCAAGUGUGAUUAGACACACAGGGAAUUUAUCUCUGGUGCAGAAACUCUCAGUAUACACAUAAAGCAACAGAGUAAUAAUAGUCAUAAUAAUGAUACCAAUAAGAAGGAGUACUAGAAAAGAUUAGGAUGAUAAUAAUAUUACAGCCAUACAACAUGGAUAAAUAUACUUAGACAUUAUACUACUAUGAGGAUUAGAUAUUCAGAACAAUAAUGGCAAAAUGUCCCUGUGUCUAUGGUUUUGGCAUGUAAUGAUAGUGGUGUCCCAAGGGAAGGUGUUGAUACAGUUUAUGUCCAGGAUGUGAGAGGUCUGUAGUUAUUUUCUCAGCCCUUCUGACCCUCACAGUAUACAAAUUAUGGAAGGCAGGCUGGUUGCAAUUGUUUUUUCUGAAGUCCUGACUAUCCAUUGGACUCUGUACCUGUCCUUGUUUAUUUGCUGUACCAAACGAGACAGUUAUAGAAGUGCAAAUGACAGACUCAAUAUUCCUGUGUAGAAUUGUAUCAACAGCUCCUGGGGCAAUCUGAACUUCCUAAGUUGACACAGGAAGAACAUGCUUUGUUGUGUCUUUUUAAUGAUGAUUCUAAUGUUAGAUGUCCAUUUCAAAGCUUGGAACAUUAUAGAAAACAGAAACUUGAAGCAUUCUACUGAUGAUACUGUGCUGUCAAAUAUAGUAAGAGGUGAUAGAAUAGGAGGGCUCUUCCUAAAAUCCACUUGCAUCUCUAAAUUUUUAAUCAAGUUCAGCUCCAGGUUGUUCCUGCUGCACCACAGGGCCAGUUGUUCAACCUUCUGUCUAUAUGCAGACUCAUCACUGUCUCAAAUGAGACCAAUGACUGUUACGUAUAUCUUCGAAGUACUUUGACAGAAGGAUCCUUAGAGAUGCAGUCAUUGGUAUGUGUGUGUGUGUGAGAGAGAGAAUGUGUCUGUCUGUGUACGUGUGUGUGUAUACACACACACCUCUAUCUGUAUAUAAAUAUGUAAAGUGAGUGUCAUAGAUAUGUAAUUGAAUACUGGAUGGUGUUGUCGACAUAUAUAAUAUAGGCAGAUCUUUCUCAUUGCUCUUACAUUUUUCUAUCAUGUUUGCUCUCUCUUUCCUUUGGUAUUAGAUCCAUGUUUUCUGUCCAUCAAGUUUCCUUUAUUAGUUUUUUUUUAAACCUCCUACAUGUAAAAAAAAAAAAAAAGUCAUUCAAAGAGAAUGUCAGUGGCUGAUCGGUAUUUGGCUAGCCGCUAGAGGAUCACCCAGAUAUAUUAUGUAUAUUAUAUUCAGAUCCAUUGUUGAAGAAAAAUGGUUUAUCAGUAUAAUUAAAUAAAUGAUCGGACGUUUCUUUUUUCAAUUAUCCUUCUCUUUAUUUUCAUGCCUUUAUUUCUUGAGCUUUUUUCUAAGUUCCUAUCUAAUUUUUUACUGUUCCUUUCUCUUGAAGUGAAUAGACGUAUAUAUUUGUCUAACUUCACAUAUUAAACAGAAGGGUGAAAACUGCUGGAUUUUUUAAUAUGUUCCAGUGGAAUGGAAUGUUUUUUUUUAAUCUGCAUUCUAUUACUUCAAACAGGUUUUUUAAUUCAGCUAUGAUUACAGAAAUGAUCUCAAUUCAGGAAAUAAUGCAUAAGUGGUUAGGUUUGCUGACAUGCUUCAUUUACAUCUUAAAUUCAAUGCAUUUCAAUCAUAUUUUCCUUAAUCUACAUAGCAAGAUAAUUUCAUGUAUAAUAAAUGUAUUCAUUCACAUGUAAUAAAUUCUUCAAAUGUUAGAUUCCUGAUCAUAUCAUCAAUUUGGAAGUCAUUAUUUAAAGAAAUGAGAAUUUUUUUCUAAGGUGAAUUCAUUUUUAUCCUUUUCAUGUCAAGGAAAACCUUCAAGAAAAGAUUUCACAUAGAAGCAUUUAUCCCACACAUGGGCAGCAGAGGUUAGGACUGUGCUGAGUGCAUUUUGAUAUUACCAUGUUUUCCCCAAAAUAAGACUGGGGCUUAUUUUUUUUUGGCCCCCAAAAUAAGCACUUUGACUUUUUUUCUGGGGUGUAUUAUUUUAUGGCUGCCUGCCCGCUUCCUCCCACCAUCUGCUUGCCCGUGGCCACAACACAAGUGCUGGCCACGCCAAGGGUGGGUUCUUCCCGGCUUUACUCCUGGUUUGCGCUCACUGCGCGCACAUGCACAGUUCAAUUAAAAUUGUUCUGCGCAUGUGCAGAACUAACAAAUAAGAUGGUGGUGACUGGAGAACCUGUUUGGGGACGUGGCAGGCCUUGGUCAUUGUCGGUUCCAGUGACCUAGGCUGAUAGACCACUACCAGUUCAGCCAAACCAGUCGGAAUCAGUAGAAACCUAUCACUGGGUCUUGCCCAUCCCUGGGCUUAUUUUGGGGUUAGGGCUCAUAUUAGGCCCACUGCAAAAAUCAAGCUAGUUCUUAUUUUGGGGGUGGGUCUUAUUUUCAGGGAAACAUGGUAUUAAAGAGAUGAGCAUAUUUGCCAUGUGCUUCCAAAGAUCUUGCAAGCAAACUGCUUCUCUCGGAAUUCUAUUUUGUUUCAGUUGUCAAUUUCUGAGAAGAACUAUGGGAAUGUCAGGGAAACACAUAAUAUUAAUUUGUUCUGAAAUCACUUAUCCACAUUUUUCUUUUCUAUUAAAUAUUUUCACAGGACUCUUUGAUGCUAUAGUCAGCAGGCCAGAGACUGCAGUUUUUGUACUGUGGCCCAGGCUUUAUGAAGAAUCAAGAAUCAUUCCUUCCUCCCCUUUUAAGAAUUGUGUUCCUUGCCAUUUUGUUUCUUCAGUUCUAAAAGGAAUGAAUCACGAUGGCACAAUGUCCGGAACUGGAAAGAUGACAGCAGUGUUAAUGUAUAGAUAAAAUGGAAGUUAUUCAAUAAAAAAUUAAUUUUUAAUUUGA